rnacentral:rRNA from 1 species
AAGACGAACCGAGCGAACGUUGUUCGGAAUCACUGGGCUUAAAGGGCGCGUAGGCGGGCUGCCGCGUCCGGGGUGAAAUCCCACGGCUCAACCGUGGAACUGCCCCGGAUACGGGCGGCCUCGAGGGGGGUAGGGGCAUCUGGAACUGUGAGUGGAGCGGUGAAAUGCGUUGAUAUUCACAGGAACUCCGGUGGCGAAGGCGAGGUGCUGGACCCCACCUGACGCUGAGGCGCGAAAGCCAGGGGAGCAAACGG